rnacentral:rRNA from 1 species
UUCACAUGUCCGCAUGAUUAAAGGUAUUUUCCGGUAGACGAUGGGGAUGCGUUCCAUUAGAUAGUAGGCGGGGUAACGGCCCACCUAGUCAACGAUGGAUAGGGGUUCUGAGAGGAAGGUCCCCCACAUUGGAACUGAGACACGGUCCAAACUCCUACGGGAGGCAGCAGUGAGGAAUAUUGGUCAAUGGGCGAUGGCCUGAACCAGCCAAGUAGCGUGAAGGAUGACUGCCCUAUGGGUUGUAAACUUCUUUUAUAAAGGAAUAAAGUCGGGUAUGCAUACCCGUUUGCAUGUACUUUAUGAAUAAGGAUCGGCUAACUCCGUGCCAGCAGCCGCGGUAAUACGGAGGAUCCGAGCGUUAUCCGGAUUUAUUGGGUUUAAAGGGAGCGUAGAUGGAUGUUUAAGUCAGUUGUGAAAGUUUGCGGCUCAACCGUAAAAUUGCAGUUGAUACUGGAUGUCUUGAGUGCAGUUGAGGCAGGCGGAAUUCGUGGUGUAGCGGUGAAAUGCUUAGAUAUCACGAAGAACUCCGAUUGCGAAGGCAGCCUGCUAAGCUGCAACUGACAUUGAGGCUCGAAAGUGUGGGUAUCAAACAGGAUUAGAUACCCUGGUAGUCCACACGGUA